rnacentral:tRNA from 1 species
GGAUUGUGGCUCAGUGGUAGAGUGCCUGUCUAGCACAUUCAAGGCCCUGGGUUCAAUCCUCAGCACCA